rnacentral:rRNA from 1 species
AGCGAACGCUGGCGGCAUGCCUAACACAUGCAAGUCGCACGGGGUGGCUUCGUGCCAUUCAGUGGCGGACGGGUGAGGAGCGCGUAGGUAUCUAUCCUUGGGUGGGGGACAACCGCGGGAAACUGCGGCUAAUACCGCAUGAAGUCUGAGGACCAAAGGCGCCAUGGGGACAUGGUUGUUGCCUGGGGCGGAGCCUGCGUUCGAUUAGCUUGUUGGUGGGGUAAAGGCCUACCAAGGCGAUGAUCGAUAGCUGGUCUGAGAGGAUGAUCAGCCACAC